GCCAACGUAGCUCAGCGGUAGAGCAAUCCCUUCGUAAGGGAAAGGUCGGUGGUUCAAUCCCACCCGUUGGCUCUA
rnacentral:tRNA from 3 species